rnacentral:rRNA from 1 species
AUUGAACGCUGGCGGCAUGCUUUACACAUGCAAGUCGAACGGCAGCGCGGGCUUCGGCCUGGCGGCGAGUGGCGAACGGGUGAGUAAUGCAUCGGAACGUGCCCAGUAGUGGGGGAUAGCCCGGCGAAAGCCGGAUUAAUACCGCAUACGACCUGAGGUUGAAAGCGGGGGUCCGAAAGUCCUCUCGCUCUUUUAGCGGCCGAUGUCGGAUUAGCUAGUUGGUGUGGUAAAGGCUUACCAAGGCGACGAUCCGUAGCUGGUCUGAGAGGACGACCAGCCACACUGGGACUGAGACACGGCCCAGACUCCUACGGGAGGCAGCAGUGGGGAAUGUUGGACAAUGGGGGCAACCAUGAUACAGCCAUGCCGCGUGCGGGAAGAAGGCCUUCGGGUUGUAAACCGCUUUUGUUCGGGAAGAAAUCCUCUGGGCUAAUACCCCGGGGGGAUGACGGUACCGGAAGAAUAAGCACCGGCUAACUACGUG